ACUAAGCGUACACGGUGGAUGCCCUGGCAGUCAGAGGCGAUGAAGGACGUGCUAAUCUGCGAUAAGCGUCGGUGAGGUGAUAUGAACCGUUAUAACCGGCGAUUUCCGAAUGGGGAAACCCAGUGUGUUUCGACACACUAUCAUUAACUGAAUCCAUAGGUUAAUGAGGCGAACCGGGGGAACUGAAACAUCUAAGUACCCCGAGGAAAAGAAAUCAACCGAGAUUCCCCCAGUAGCGGCGAGCGAACGGGGAGGAGCCCAGAGCCUGAAUCAGUGUGUGUGUUAGUGGAAGCGUCUGGAAAGGCGUGCGAUACAGGGUGACAGCCCCGUACACAAAAAUGCACAUAUUGUGAGCUCGAUGAGUAGGGCGGGACACGUGGUAUCCUGUCUGAAUAUGGGGGGACCAUCCUCCAAGGCUAAAUACUCCUGACUGACCGAUAGUGAACCAGUACCGUGAGGGAAAGGCGAAAAGAACCCCGGCGAGGGGAGUGAAAAAGAACCUGAAACCGUGUACGUACAAGCAGUGGGAGCCUCUUAAUGGGGUGACUGCGUACCUUUUGUAUAAUGGGUCAGCGACUUAUAUUCUGUAGCAAGGUUAACCGAAUAGGGGAGCCGAAGGGAAACCGAGUCUUAACUGGGCGUUAAGUUGCAGGGUAUAGACCCGAAACCCGGUGAUCUAGCCAUGGGCAGGUUGAAGGUUGGGUAACACUAACUGGAGGACCGAACCGACUAAUGUUGAAAAAUUAGCGGAUGACUUGUGGCUGGGGGUGAAAGGCCAAUCAAACCGGGAGAUAGCUGGUUCUCCCCGAAAGCUAUUUAGGUAGCGCCUCGUGAAUUCAUCUCCGGGGGUAGAGCACUGUUUCGGCAAGGGGGUCAUCCCGACUUACCAACCCGAUGCAAACUGCGAAUACCGGAGAAUGUUAUCACGGGAGACACACGGCGGGUGCUAACGUCCGUCGUGAAGAGGGAAACAACCCAGACCGCCAGCUAAGGUCCCAAAGUCAUGGUUAAGUGGGAAACGAUGUGGGAAGGCCCAGACAGCCAGGAUGUUGGCUUAGAAGCAGCCAUCAUUUAAAGAAAGCGUAAUAGCUCACUGGUCGAGUCGGCCUGCGCGGAAGAUGUAACGGGGCUAAACCAUGCACCGAAGCUGCGGCAGCGACACUAUGUGUUGUUGGGUAGGGGAGCGUUCUGUAAGCCUGUGAAGGUGGCCUGUGAGGGUUGCUGGAGGUAUCAGAAGUGCGAAUGCUGACAUAAGUAACGAUAAAGCGGGUGAAAAGCCCGCUCGCCGGAAGACCAAGGGUUCCUGUCCAACGUUAAUCGGGGCAGGGUGAGUCGACCCCUAAGGCGAGGCCGAAAGGCGUAGUCGAUGGGAAACAGGUUAAUAUUCCUGUACUUGGUGUUACUGCGAAGGGGGGACGGAGAAGGCUAUGUUGGCCGGGCGACGGUUGUCCCGGUUUAAGCGUGUAGGCUGGUUUUCCAGGCAAAUCCGGAAAACCAAGGCUGAGGCGUGAUGACGAGGCACUACGGUGCUGAAGYGACAAAUGCCCUGCUUCCAGGAAAAGCCUCUAAGCAUCAGGUAACAUCAAAUCGUACCCCAAACCGACACAGGUGGUCAGGUAGAGAAUACCAAGGCGCUUGAGAGAACUCGGGUGAAGGAACUAGGCAAAAUGGUGCCGUAACUUCGGGAGAAGGCACGCUGAUAUGUAGGUGAAGCGACUYGCUCGUGGAGCUGAAAUCAGUCGAAGAUACCAGCUGGCUGCAACUGUUUAUUAAAAACACAGCACUGUGCAAACACGAAAGUGGACGUAUACGGUGUGACGCCUGCCCGGUGCCGGAAGGUUAAUUGAUGGGGUUAGCGGUAACGCGAAGCUCUUGAUCGAAGCCCCGGUAAACGGCGGCCGUAACUAUAACGGUCCUAAGGUAGCGAAAUUCCUUGUCGGGUAAGUUCCGACCUGCACGAAUGGCGUAAUGAUGGCCAGGCUGUCUCCACCCGAGACUCAGUGAAAUUGAACUCGCUGUGAAGAUGCAGUGUACCCGCGGCAAGACGGAAAGACCCCGUGAACCUUUACUAUAGCUUGACACUGAACAUUGAGCCUUGAUGUGUAGGAUAGGUGGGAGGCUUUGAAGUGUGGACGCCAGUCUGCAUGGAGCCGACCUUGAAAUACCACCCUUUAAUGUUUGAUGUUCUAACGUUGGCCCGUAAUCCGGGUUGCGGACAGUGUCUGGUGGGUAGUUUGACUGGGGCGGUCUCCUCCUAAAGAGUAACGGAGGAGCACGAAGGUUGGCUAAUCCUGGUCGGACAUCAGGAGGUUAGUGCAAUGGCAUAAGCCAGCUUGACUGCGAGCGUGACGGCGCGAGCAGGUGCGAAAGCAGGUCAUAGUGAUCCGGUGGUUCUGAAUGGAAGGGCCAUCGCUCAACGGAUAAAAGGUACUCCGGGGAUAACAGGCUGAUACCGCCCAAGAGUUCAUAUCGACGGCGGUGUUUGGCACCUCGAUGUCGGCUCAUCACAUCCUGGGGCUGAAGUAGGUCCCAAGGGUAUGGCUGUUCGCCAUUUAAAGUGGUACGCGAGCUGGGUUUAGAACGUCGUGAGACAGUUCGGUCCCUAUCUGCCGUGGGCGCUGGAGAACUGAGGGGGGCUGCUCCUAGUACGAGAGGACCGGAGUGGACGCAUCACUGGUGUUCGGGUUGUCAUGCCAAUGGCACUGCCCGGUAGCUAAAUGCGGAAGAGAUAAGUGCUGAAAGCAUCUAAGCACGAAACUUGCCCCGAGAUGAGUUCUCCCUGACUCCUUGAGRGUCCUGAAGGAACGUUGAAGACGACGACGUUGAUAGGCCGGGUGUGUAAGCGCAGCGAUGCGUUGAGCUAACCGGUACUAAUGAACCGUGAGGCUUAACC
rnacentral:rRNA from 1 species